rnacentral:rRNA from 1 species
UACGUAGGGCGCAAGCGUGUCCGGAAUUAUUGGGCGUAAAGAGCUCGUAGGCGGCUUGCCACGUCGAUUGUGAAAGCCCGAGGCUUAACCUCGGGUCUGCAGUCGAUACGGGCUAGCUAGAGUGUGGUAGGGGAGAUCGGAAUUCCUGGUGUAGCGGUGAAAUGCGCAGAUAUCAGGAGGAACACCGGUGGCGAAGGCGGAUCUCUGGGCCAUUACUGACGCUGAGGAGCGAAAGCGUGGGGAGCGAACAGG